rnacentral:snRNA from 1 species
GUGCUGGCUUUGGCGGUACAUACACUAAAACUGAAACACUACAGAGGUUAGCAUGGGCCCUAACCCUAACAAGGAUGACACACAAAUUCAUGAAGUGUUAAAAAAAAAA